rnacentral:rRNA from 1 species
AAGGGCACCACAAGAACGCGUGGAGCAUGUGGCUUAAUUUGACUCAACGCAGGAAAUCUUACCGGGUCCGGACACACUGAGGAUUGACAGAUAAUAACGGGUUGGCUGGUUCUUCUUGAACCGACCGACUCUUAAAAAUAUGAUAGCUCUUUCAUAAUUAUGUGAUAGGUGGUGCAUGGCCGUUCUUAGUUCGUGGAGUGAUCUGUCUGCUUAAUUGCGUUUUCAUUAUGGCUGACUAUAGUAUGUGUAUUUAUAUGCUCUCGCGGUAUGUAAAUCACGUCUGUCGGCUUUGAAAUGCAACGAACGUGACCGCAACCUCUUGUUGCACCUUAGCUGCUCAAGGUGCUCAACUAGAGGGACCGCUGUAUUUUUUCUUUUAGCCAGAGGAAGGAUGCGGCAAUAACAGGUCUGUGAUGCCCUCAGAUGUCCCGGGCUGCACACGUGCUACAAUGAUCAUUGCACUGCGCAUCUUCUUUUAUGUUUACACUGUCGUGUGCGAUAAGAUUCGCUUCACAGUGGUCGUAUCAAACACACAGUACACACACCCGUGUCGACAGGCUACUACACUCGGGUAACCCAUUAGAAGUAAUGAUUUCCAUAUGCACACAAUCAUACGUAUGAACGCUGAGCACUCCGGUGUCUCAAUGUUCGUACGCAUGUGCGAUUGUCAAUUCAUGGUGGGGACAGACCAUUGAUAAUUGUUGGUCUCGGUCUCAACUAGGAAUGCCUUGUACGAGUCGGUUCACCAAACCACUCGGAAUACGUCCCUGCCCUUUGUACACACCGCCCGUCGCUCUUACCGAUGGACUUCGCUGUGAGUUUGAGGGACUGGCCUAGGCUAUAGAAACUUAAACGAACAGUGUGGUCUAAAGGAAAGAGAAGUCGUAACAAGGCAUCCGUAGGUGAACCU